rnacentral:rRNA from 1 species
GUGCCAGGCGAGAAACCUCCGCAAUACACGAAAGUGUGACGGGCCAUCCCGAGUGCCGUCCGCUGAGGACGGCUUUCCCCAGUGUACAUAGCUGGGGAAUAAGGAGAGGGCAAGCCUGGUGUCAGCCGCCGCGGUAAUACCAGCUCUCCGAGUGGUGGGGACGCUUAUUGGGCCUAAAGCAUCCGUAGCCGGCUAGGCAAGUCCUCCGUUAAAUCCAACGAUUCAAUCGUUGGGCUGCGGGGGAUACUGUCCAGCUUGGGGGCGGGAGAGGCCGACGGUAUUCCCGGGGUAGGGGUGGAAUCCUAUAAUCCCGGGAGGACCACCAGUGGCGAAGGCUGUCGGCUAGAACGCGCCCGACGGUGAGGGAUGAAAGCUGGGGGAGCGGACCGGAUUAGAUACCCGGGUAGU